UGCCCAGCAACUCCUAUCCCUUCUUCCUCGCGGUUCUGGCCAGGGAAGAUCGGGUAACCAAUCCCGGUGGGAACUCUGGUCGUAUGCUGACAGGGAAGG
rnacentral:ribozyme from 1 species